AUUGAACGCUGGCGGCAGGCCUAACACAUGCAAGUCGAACGGUAACAGGAAACAGCUUGCUGUUUCGCUGACGAGUGGCGGACGGGUGAGUAAUGUCUGGGAAACUGCCUGAUGGAGGGGGAUAACUACUGGAAACGGUAGCUAAUACCGCAUAACGUCGCAAGACCAAAGAGGGGGACCCUCGGGCCUCUUGCCAUCGGAUGUGCCCAGAUGGGAUUAGCUUGUUGUGGGGUAACGGCUCACCAAGGCGACGAUCCCUAGCUGGUCUGAGAGGAUGACCAGCCACACUGGAACUGAGACACGGUCCAGACUCCUACGGGAGGCAGCAGUGGGGAAUAUUGCACAAUGGGCGCAAGCCUGAUGCAGCCAUGCCGCGUGUAUGAAGAAGGCCUUCGGGUUGUUAAAGGUACUUUACUAGUACCGGGGAGGAAGGGAGUAAAGUUAAGUACCUUUAGCUCAUUGACGUUACCGCAGAGAAG
rnacentral:rRNA from 1 species